rnacentral:rRNA from 1 species
GACGAACGCUGGCGGCGUGCCUAAUACAUGCAAGUAGAACGCUGACUACUUUAGCUUGCUAGAGUAGAAGGAGUUGCGAACGGGUGAGUAACGCGUAGGUAACCUGCCUACUAGCGGGGGAUAACUAUUGGAAACGAUAGCUAAUACCGCAUAACAGUGUUUAACACAUGUUAGAUGCUUGAAAGAUGCAAUUGCAUCACUAGUAGAUGGACCUGCGUUGUAUUAGCUAGUUGGUGGGGUAACGGCCCACCAAGGCGACGAUACAUAGCCGACCUGAGAGGGUGAUCGGCCACAUUGGGACUGAGACACGGCCCAAACUCCUACGGGAGGCAGCAGUAGGGAAUCUUCCGCAAUGGGCGAAAGCCUGACGGAGCAAUGCCGCGUGAGUGAAGAAGGCCUUCGGGUCGUAAAACUCUGUUAUAAGGGAAGAACGACUUUAGUAGGAAAUGGCUAGAGUGUGACGGUACCUUAUGAGAAAGCCACGGCUAACUACGUGCCAGCAGCCGCCGUAA